GACGAACGCUGGCGGCAGGCUUAACACAUGCAAGUCGAACGGGUGUAGCAAUACAUCAGUGGCAGACGGGUGAGUAACACGUGGGAACCUUCCUAGGGGUACGGAACAACUCAGGGAAACUUGAGCUAAUACCGUAUACGUCCGUAAGGAGAAAGAUUCAUCGCCCCUAGACGGGCCCGCGUCGGAUUAGGUAGUUGGUGGGGUAACGGCCUACCAAGCCUACGAUCCGUAGCUGAUCUGAGAGGANGAUCAGCCACACUGGGACUGAGACACGGCCCAGACUCCUACGGGAGGCAGCAGUGGGGAAUCUUGGACAAUGGGCGCAAGCCUGAUCCAGCCAUGCCGCGUGAGUGAAGAAGGCCUUAGGGUUGUAAAGCUCUUUUACCAGGGACGAUAAUGACGGUACCUGGAGAAUAAGCCCCGGCAAACUUCGCGCCA
rnacentral:rRNA from 1 species